UGCAGGUAAUACCGGAUAAUGUCUUCGACAAGGUGUGAUUCCGUCAGGGAGGNGCCUGCAUCCUAUUAGCUUGUUGGUGAGGUAAUGGCUCACCAAGGCAACGAUGGGUAGCGGGUGUGAGAGCAUGACCCGCGUCAUUGGGACUGAGACACUGCCCAGACAUCUACGGAUGGCUGCAGUCGAGAAUCUUCGGCAAUGGGCGAAAGCCUGACCGAGCGACGCCGCGUGCGGGAUGAAGGCNNUCGGGUUGUAAACCGCUGUCGUUGGGGAGGAAAUGCAAAAGGGUUAUCCCUUCUGUUUGACCGAUCCAAGGAGG
rnacentral:rRNA from 1 species